GUCGCGAUGCCAGAGUGGUUGUGAGUGUACUCGGCUCUGGAAUACUUCAAAACUAACCCGUACAGAAUGGGUAAGACUUGAAUUAAUUUUCGGUAUCUUAUGGCUUGUAAUUUUCCCCACCCCGUUAUGCAUAAUUCAUGCUAAUGUCUCUCAGCGGCCUCGUAGGUUCAAAUCCUGCUCGCGACG